GUAUCUGAGCCAACAACAGAUCAUUCCUAUAUCAGACUGGGUGCUCAUGGUGGUCUAGAGCAGGAAAUGAUCACAGGCCAGUUUAAGAUCAGCAGAUUCACUCUUCACUGUGUCCAGCGAAGACACAAAUCCAACUCGUGCUGAAUAGUCCAGGAGCCCUGCUAUUUCUCCGUAAACUCCUGACACACGGAGGACCGAGCUGCCACUUGGUGGGAAAUUCCUGAAGCGGGUUCCCACAUGUUUGGAGCCGUGACCCGUAGCGGGCAGGAGCAUCUGUGUGGAAGAGAAAAGAAUGAUCCUGGCCUGAGGGCUUCUGAGGUGACUGGUAGGAGGGUGAGUCACUCCAGUACUGGAAGCCCCUUCCUACCCAGGCCCCCGGGAUGCAGGAGGAAGGACGGCUGGAUUGAACAGCAACGAGGAAAAAAGUUGGCCAAGUGAAGAAACUGCUCAGCUUUCACUGAGUCAUCAUCUGGCAGAGUCCGACACGUCUGUGGGGGCUGGAUCUCUUCUGUAUUUCUCAGUCUGGAGUUUCUUGAGUUGCUCCAUUCUGCAAAUUCUGUGUCUGAAUCACUGGACAUGAUUGAUUUCCUCUGCCCUGCAUUUAUAGCUUUACUUAUUUAAUGGCUGUUUGGAAGUAAAAGUUACACACAGCACAUGCAUGCACACACACGGACACACAACAAAUAAAUCAGUACUUAUCCUUA